rnacentral:piRNA from 1 species
UACCCUGUGGUGUAAAGAUGUUGCUG